rnacentral:lncRNA from 1 species
UAAAUAAUCAAAAUAUACAUCAAAUAAUUGUCAGUCAUUUAAAACCCGCAUAUAUCCUCACUAAACUAAUAUAUCCAUCAAGCUCGUAUAUUCACUUAAACCACAUCAUAUCAUUGCGAAUAGUUACUCUUUUCAGCGCACUAAAUGUAAUCCUUCACUCUACAAAUGUUCGCUCUCCGGCCUUAACGUAAUGGUAUUCCCGGC